CACGCGCCAUCCAGGCCUCCCCGCCUGCCCACUCCCUAUUGGGGGUGGAAAAGAUGGGUUCUCCCGGUAGAAAUUACGGUCCUGCCGCUAGCCCUCUCUGAGCUCAAAUUCACGUCCCUGGCUGGUGCCCUCCUUCCCUUCCCUCUGUCCCCAGGUCCCAAAGAGUCAGCUCGCCGCUCCGUUGCGCCUCUCACCUCUGCGCACCUCACCUCUCUGCGCCUCUGCCCCGACCCUGCCGGGUUCCCAGCCUCGGAGGGACCCCCGAGUUCCUGCUCCACACGCCCUCUAAUGGCCAAGACCUGGGGAGCGCAGGAGAGAAGCAGGUGGGGAAAAGGCCAUCAAUGGAUGGAUACCCAAGGACACUUCCAUAUGUUCGGUGGGGAGGGCAAGGGGGGCAGAGCGUGGGAAGAUGCACCAAGCCCAGGCACCCGAGGCCCGAGGUGCCAGCCGUAGAGGAGAGAACCCAACGCAAUUCCAUAUGUUCAAGAGGCAGAUCCAGGGAGACACUGUGCAGUAGGAGAGAAAUAUGAGAACCCCAAUCUCAGGAUUCAAGGUCUGGGGAUCACUGAAGGAAAGGCUCUGUAAACUCCUGUUCGUUUCUUCCCUGCACAGCUGCAAGAUCACAAGACAGAGACGCAUAACCUGCAAACCAAGUUUUCCCAGACAUGUAAGACAUGUUGCAAAAGUGUCACAGCAGCCUUUGUUCUCGCUUCUGUAAGCCUGCUUCCUGCUUCACGUAGUG